rnacentral:rRNA from 1 species
AAUGAACGCUGGCGGCAGGCCUAACACAUGCAAGUCGAACGGAUCCUUCGGGGUUAGUGGCGGACGGGUGAGUAACGCGUGGGAACAUACCCUUUGGUACGGAAUAGCCUCGGGAAACUGGGAGUAAUACCGUAUGUGGUCGAGAGACGAAAGAUUUAUCGCCAAAGGAUUGGCCCGCGUUGGAUUAGGUAGUUGGUGGGGUAAUGGCCUACCAAGCCGACGAUCCAUAGCUGGUUUGAGAGGAUGAUCAGCCACACUGGGACUGAGACACGGCCCAGACUCCUACGGGAGGCAGCAGUGGGGAAUCUUAGACAAUGGGGGAAACCCUGAUCUAGCCAUGCCGCGUGAUCGAUGGAGGCCUUAGGGUUGUAAAGAUCUUUCAGGUGGGAAGAUAAUGACUGUACCACCAGAAGAAGCCCCGGCUAACUCCGUGCCAGCCGCCGCCGUAAGAC